rnacentral:rRNA from 1 species
UACGUAGGGUGCGAGCGUUAAUCGGAAUUACUGGGCGUAAAGGGUGCGCAGGCGGCUCCGCAUGUCGGGCGUGAAAGCCCCGGGCUUAACCCGGGAAUGGCGUCCGAAACUAUGGAGCUGGAGUGUGGCAGAGGAAGGUGGAAUUCCUGGUGUAGCGGUGAAAUGCGUAGAUAUCAGGAGGAAUACCGGUGGCGAAGGCGGCCUUCUGGACGGUGACUGACGCUGAGACGCGAAAGCCAGGGGAGCAAACGGG